rnacentral:rRNA from 1 species
AGAGUUUGAUCAUGGCUCAGAACGUACGCNGGCGGCGUGCUUAACACAUGCAAGUCGAACGCGAAAGUUUUCCUUCGGGAGAGCGAGUAGAGUGGCAGACGGGUGAGUAACACGUGGGUAAUCUGCCCCUAGGCGAGGGAUAACCACUGGAAACGGUGGCUAAUACCUCGUAAGACCACAUCUCUUCGGGGAAGUGGUAAAAGUCUUCGGACACCAAGGGAGGAGCCCGCGGUCGAUNAGCUAGUUGGUGGGGUAACGGCCCACCAAGGCAACGAUCGAUAGCUGGUCUGAGAGGAUGAUCAGCCACACUGGUACUUAGACACGGACCAGACUCCUACGGGAGGCAGCAGUGGGGAAUAUUGCGCAAUGGACGAAAGUCUGACGCAGCAACGCCGCGUGGGUGAAGAAGGUUUUCGGAUCGUAAAACCCUGUCAGGUGGGAAGAAACGCCCCUUCAAGGGGAACUGACGGUACCACCAAAGGAAGCACCGGCUAACUCCGUGCCAGCAGCCGCGGUAAUACGGAGGGUGCAAGCGUAGUUCGGAAUCACUGGGCGUAAAGGGCGCGUAGGCGGACCUGUGGGUCUGAUGUGAAAGCCCGGGGCUCAACCCCGGAAGUGCAUUGGAAACUACAGGUCUUGAGUUUGGGAGAGGAGAACAGAAUUCCCGGUGUAGGGGUGGAAUCCGUAGAUAUCGGGAGGAAAACCAGUGGCGAAGGCGGCUCUCUGGAACAUAACUGACGCUAAGGCGCGAAAGCGUGGGGAGCAAACAGGAUUAGAGGCCCUGGUAGUCCACGCCGUAAACGAUGGAUACUAGGUGUAGGGGUCAUUAAUGACCUCUGUGCCGAAGCUAACGCGAUAAGUAUCCCGCCUGGGGAGUACGGUCGCAAGACUAAAACUCAAAUGAAUUGACGG